AAAAUACUCCCUCGUCCGAAAAUACUUGUAGGAGAAAUGGAUAAAAAUGGAUGUAUCAAGAACUAAAAUACGUCUAGACACAUUCAUUUCUCUGAAAAGUAUUUCCGGGCGGAGGGAGUAAUAG
rfam:Triticum urartu cultivar G1812 contig1117834, whole genome shotgun sequence.